rnacentral:rRNA from 1 species
AAUCAACGCUGGCGGCGUGCCUCAGACAUGCAAGUCGAACGAUUAAGACUUCCUUCGGGAAGUGUAUAAAGUAGCGCACGGGUGAGUAACACGUAAGUAAUCUACCUUCGAGUGGGGAAUAACAUCGGGAAACCGAUGCUAAUACCGCAUAAUGCAGCGGCAUCGCAAGAUGACAGUUGUUAAAGGAGCAAUUCGCUUGAAGAGGAGCUUGCGGCAGAUUAGCUAGUUGGUAAGGUAAUGGCUUACCAAGGCUACGAUCUGUAUCCGGUCUAAGAGGACGGUCGGACACACUGACACUGAAUAACGGGUCAGACUCCUACGGGAGGCAGCAGUCGGGAAUUUUGGGCAAUGGGCGAAAGCUUGACCCAGCAACGCCGCGUGAGGGAUGAAGUAUUUCGGUAUGUAAACCUCGAAAGAAUGGGAAGAAUAAAUGACGGUACCAUUUAUAAGCUCCGGCUAACUACGUGCCAGCCGCCGCAGUAACAC